CAGACCCUGUUUCACAGAUUAUAAUUUCAAGGCAGAAAAAGAAAGCCUGUGAUGGCUAAUUUUAACGACAACAGAAAAAUUCAAGUAUCAGAUGCCAAUAUACUACAUCUUCAAACCUUGAAGGACAGUCCAAUCUCAUACUUGGUACCCCUUAUGCAAGUGACAACUCAACCGAGAACAGAGAACUCUGAUACAUGUGGCGAAAUAGUUUUUCCAAAACCAGUUAUGUACAUUUAGAUUAAAAUCAGAUAGAAAAGAUGA